rnacentral:rRNA from 1 species
CCUACGGGUGGCAGCAGUAGGGAAUCUUCCACAAUGGACGAAAGUCUGAUGGAGCGACGCCGCGUGAGGGAAGAAGGUUUUCGGCUCGUAAAGCUCUGUUGGUAGUGAAGAACGAUAGAGGUAGUAACUAGCCUUUAUUUGACGGUAAUUACUUAGAAAGUCACGGCUAACUACGUGCCAGCAGCCGCGGUAAUACGUAGGUGGCGAGCGUUGUCCGGAUUUAUUGGGCGUAAAGCGAUUGCAGGCGGUACAAUAAGUCUGAUGUGAAAGCCUUCGGCUCAACCGGAGAAUUGCAUCAGAAACUGGUGAACUUGAGUGCGGAAGAGGAGAGUGGAACUCCAUGUGUAGCGGUGGAAUGCGUAGAUAUAUGGAAGAACACCAGUGGCGAAGGCGGCUAUCUGGUAUGCAACUGACGCUGAGGAUCGAAAGCGUGGGUAGCGAACAGGAUUAGAUACCCGAGUAGUC